AAAGAGGUCUUUGGUUCGAGUCU
rnacentral:snRNA from 1 species